UAGUUUCUAAUUUAUUUAUUUUUAAUUUUCAGUCAAAAACUGAGAAGCAACUUGGCUCACGUCUCAUCUAUCAUCUUCGCGUGCCUUCCAAUAAAUUUGCUUCUCUCUGAUUUCAAAUCACAGUGCCUAGGAGGAAGACGAAUUGUUCUUCUGUCUGAUUUCUUCCUCUUCGCUCAAGGUUAGAUUUCACUUUUGUUAUCGAUCAACGAUUGUGCCUCACCACUGUUCUCCUUGAUUUUAAUUUUUCCUUUGCUUUCAAUUUCGUGUCAUUACUCUUUUGAUUUCAUCACAUGCUUUUAUUUUCAUCUCAUUCAAUUUCGUUUUCCAUCUCUCACCAAGAAAAACUCACGACUUCCAGCAGCACAGAGCACUCAUCUCAUCCCCAUUCUUCGUUCCCGAUGUCGGUGGUGAGUUGUAAGAGACGAAAAACGAGUAAAGAUUGGUCAAGCUAAAGAUUGAUUCAUGAUUUAAUGAAGACGGUCUCGUAAGUCAGAUAUGAUGCAAAUGAAAAUCAAAUGGUGACAGACUUGUUUCAACAAAGGAGGAUUCUUAAACGUAGGUAUGUGUCCCAAUAUAAACACACUACUCUGUCUUGUGUUAACCAUCUUAUAUCUUCAAAUUUACUAAGCUAGAUUGAUGACUAUGCAAAUAUUACCUUGUGGAGAGAGCUAAGGAUGCUAAUAUUGCUUCAUGAGUUGACUAUGUUCAAUCCUGCACCGGUUUCUGAUCAAGGAAGUGUGCCAACUAAUACAACAAGUUCUGGACAUGAGGAAAAUCAUAUGUGAUAGUUGAAGAAUAUAAUAUAAUGUGGAAAUUAAUUGAACCAUUUUAUGUUUUGAGAAUCAUUGCAGUACUUCAUGAUAGUUUUUGCUGACUAAUAUUGUACUUGAAUUUGAAUU